CAGGUCUCCUGGCAGACAUGGCAGCAUUUCACAAUACAGCCAGGGGUUGCACCUGGGCGAGCCAAAGUCCCUUCAUUUCCCUGAAAACAGGGCUGGGCCUUUCAGGGCUCCUCCUUCACCCCCCCCCCAGGGAUGGCUGGAGGGAGGAAACUGGCUCUCUUACUGGUAAUCAGCCUCUAGCCAGAGUGCAGGAGCAGGAUGAUGCCCUUCCAGGCUGGCCCCAGCCUCUGCCCAAGAUUGCUUAAGGCAGGUGAGUGACCUGCGGGGUGGGGGGGAGGGAGGGCAAAGUGUCUGUCCAGGGAGGGUGAUGUCAUCUCCCCAGGUGGGUGCUAUUUGCCGAACCUCUGCGCACCAAAUAAAUAAGCUUUUCAGAGAGAGAAACCCACUAAACAAGCCCAGCCAAGAGGGAGGCCACACCUGUGUGCAGGGCGAAGGGUUAAGCCGCCACUGCCCUGGGAUUGCAGCUACCCAAAAUAAAGACAAGUGAGGCUUCUGAGUCCUCCGGAAUCCCCCCUCGGGCUGGAGGGAAGCAAAGCAGGAGGUUUGAAGAAGAAGAAAUUGAAGAAGAAAUUCCGACGAAAGAAGAAUGGCAGGCGAAAUUAAUGGGCUAUGCAGAAUUGGACAAAAUGACGGGAAGGAUUCGAAACCUGCAGGACCAGAGAUUUACACAAGAUUGGAAGAAGUAUAUGAAUUAUUUGAAGAGCAACUGUAAUCAACAAAUUAUGCCAGUAGGACUGUGAGAAGUUUUGUAAGGAGAAAUAUACGAGGUGUUACAAAGUAGAAAAAAAUAGAGAUAUUGGUUAUGUGUUUGAAAUGUACCGUAUUUUUCGCCCUAUAGGACGCACUUCUUCCCCUCCAAAAAUGAAAAUGUGUGUGCGUCCUAUGGGGCGAAUGCAGGCUUUCGCUGAAGCCUGGAGAGCCCCACCGCCAGCCCCACAAGCUCGGGGGACAGCGGGGAGGCGGAACGCCGCCAUCCCGCUGUCCCCCGACUUGGUUAGAAGGCUGGCGGGGGGGAGAAGCCUGCUCCUCCCCGUCGCCAGCCCCGCAAACUCGGGGGACAGCAGGGAGGCGCAGCGCACCAUCCCGCUGUCUCCCGACCUGGUUUGGAGGCUGGCAGAGGGCUUCCCCCUCCCCCAGUCCUGCAAGCUCCUAGAGCUUCGGCAUGGCUCUGGGUCCCGUUCUGGGGGCUGGGGUCGGGGGAAGCUCAGGCUUCCCCCGCCCAGCCCCGUGCCGGGGGGGGGGGAAAUAAUUUUUCCCCCUUUAUUCCCCCCCCAAAUCUAGGUGCGUCCUAUGGGGCGAAAAAUACGGUAAUAGGGAAAAUAAGAAAUGCAUACUAAGAGAUUAGAUCGGAAAAUUUUCAGACAGGAGUCAUGGAAGUAAAAAAAAAAUUGAAUAAGAUGUAAAAGUAUGUUUAAUUAUUGUUGAAAAUGGUACGUUAAAAAACUAAUAAAAAUUUAUAUUAAAAAAAAGGUAGCAAAGCAGGAGGACCACAGAAUGGCAGAGUUGGAAGGGAUCCUGAUCUAGUCCUAGUCAAUCUAGUCAUUUGAGAGCCAGUGUGGUGUAGUGGUGAAGAGCGGUGGAUUCGUAAUCUGGGGAACCGGGUUUGAGUCUCCGCUCCUCCACAUGCAGCUGCUGGGUGACCUUGGGCCAGUCACACUUCUCUGAAGUCUCUCAGCCCCACUCACCUCACAGAGUGUUUGUUGUGGGGGAGGAAGGGAAAGGAGAUUGUUAGCCGCUUUGAGACUCCUGAAGGGAGUGAAAGGCGGGAUAUCAAAUCCAAACUCUUCUUCUUCUUCCAGCUGAAUAAUCCCUGACGGAUGGCCACCCAACCUCUGCCCUGAAACCUCCAAGGAAGGAGAGCCCACCGCCUUCCCAGGGAGUCCGUUCCAUUGCUGAGAAGCUCUCAUUCGCCAGGAGCAGAGAGAGAGUCACCCACAGCUUCCUCCCUUCAGCUGACCCAGGGCGGCUUCAGAGGCUCCCCUGGGACUCAGAUGUUUCUCAAAACUGGGGGGUCAUAGCAUGUCCCUUGCAGAAUAGAAUGCAUCUCCCAAGCUCCCCAUGGCCUGCCAGAACUGCAAGUUAAAAGUCAGAAGAUCCCUUGGAUAAGAUGAGGGAAAUAUACACAUUUUUGCGCCCUCCAGGGUUGUCCACCCAUCACUAGUGAAAGAUAGACAGGAACGAAGUUGCUUUCAAAGCAGUGACUUGAACACACACAAAUGGGGAGUUCCUUGUACAGUCAAACCUCGGCUGUCGAUCAUAAUCCAUUACGUAAGCCUCUUCAGCUUCCAAAAUGUUCAACAACCGAGGCGCGGGUUUCAAUUUGCUGCAGGAGCUUCCUGCACUCAGCUGAAGCCGCUUCGGACAUUCGGCUUCUGAAAAACAGAACAUUUACUUCCAGGUUUUCAGGGUUCGGGUGCCAAAACAUUCCGAAACGGAGGCGUUUGGGAUCCGAGGUUUGACUGUACAUAAAAUAUGAGGGUUGUUUAGUACUGCUGGGCCCUGAACCAGCACCAGGGGGAGGGGGGCUUCUCCCCGUCACCCACUGUGCCCUCCAGAGACGCACCUGCCUUUGCCACCUGAUCCAAAGCGCCACCAAAAUAGCUGGAGAACGAGGAGCCCUGGCAGGCAUUGUGCAGGGGGCACGGCAGGCGGGGAGAAGACCCUCUCCAAGGACAACGGGUGCUGGGAAGCAAAGGGAGCCUUGCUUGGCCACUGCCUCGCCCCGCUCCGUCUGAGACCACUGAGCAAUGCUGCCCUCCUUUCUGGCAGCAGUUCAAUGGAUGUCGGAAACUGAACCCGGGACCUUCUGCAGGUAAAGCAGAUGUUCUCUGGCCCCAUUCCCGAAAAAAUCGCCAAUGGGAGUGUCUCACAGAGCUGCUCUGGCUGCCCAUCUGCUACCCAGCCAGGUUCAAAGUCCUUCUAUUAAUUGACAAUGCCCUGAAGAAUUUGGGUCCAGGGUACCUCAGGAAUCGCCUGAACCUUCUGAUCCAGCUCAAUCACUGAAGGAAGCUCGUUUUACAACAUCUGCCUCAUUGACCCGGUCCUGUGGAACUCCCUGCCAAUGGAGAUUCAGCGGGCGCCUUCUGUGCCAAGUUUUAAAAGCCUGCUGAAAACUUUACUCUUCCAUCGGGCCCAAGCAGGCAGUUAAUAUAUCCCUUCCACAAUCGUCUACUGAUGUUUGUUUUUAAUUCUUUUGCUUUGAACUUGUUUCUAAGUUUUUCUUAUUUUACUGUGUGGC
rnacentral:lncRNA from 1 species